AUAUUGUACAAUGGGGGCAACCCUGAUCCAGCCAUGCCGCGUGUGUGAAGAAGGUCUUCGGAUUGUAAAGCACUUUAAGUUGGGAGGAAGGGCUUUAUGUUAAUACCCUGAAGUUUUGACGUUACCAACAGCAUAAGCACCGGCUAACUCUGUGCCAGCAGCCGCGGUAAUACAGAGGGUGCAAGCGUUAAUCGGAAUUACUGGGAGUAAAGUGCGCGUAGGUGGUUCAGUAAGAUGGGUGUGAACUCCCCGGGCUUAACCUGGGCACUGCUUUCAUAACUGCUGAGCUAGAGUACGGUAGAGGGUAGUGGAAUUUCCUGUGUAGAGGUGAAAUGCGUAGAUAUAGGAAGGAACACCAGUGGCGAAGGCGACUACAUGGACUGAUACUGACACUGAGGUUCGAAAGCGUGGGGAGCAAACA
rnacentral:rRNA from 1 species